rnacentral:lncRNA from 1 species
UAUAAAAUGACUUUUAUUAAAUCAAAUUAGCCUUUAGUUUUUAAUGUUUCACCAAGGCUUAAUCCUUGAACUUCUUUGUCUAUAUCUCUUUUUGCUUUUUCUAGUAAUUGUAUUUAAUCUCACAACUUUAAAUGCAAUCUAUAUGGGGAUGACUCCUAAAUUUGUGUUCAUUCUCGCUCAUGAACUCCUAAGCCAUGUAUACUAUUGUCUGUUUGAUAGCUGGUGUUGAACAUAUCCUCCCACUGUACACAACCAUAAACUAGAUCAAAUAUAUAGAAUACUAGUUUGCAGUUCAAAAUAAAAAUCAACAUCAGGCUACAAAUUUGAGGGAAGGGAAUUACAUAGAUAAGUCCCCCCCCCACCCCCAGCACACACACACACACACACACACACAUACACACACACAACUUUUCCAUGAAGGAAUUUUUCAAAGAGCUUCCAUUUUCUGAGCAGAAGAAACUAAGAUUAGAGCUCAUAAAUCCUAAAGGAUAGUGGCUAGGAUUGGGGGGAGGAGAUCAGGGACCUAAGUGUCAGAGACAAGGGACCCACAGAGGAUCCCCAAAGGUUUGCAUGAAAAUUCUUCAUAGCUGAGUGUUAAGCUAUAUGGGUACAGGAAAAGAUUCCAGGAAGCCUAUUAAUGAACUGCUUCUGGGAUGCUGAGAGUUGAAUAAAUACUUCAGGAAUGGAAGGCAGUCAUCUGGCUCAGCCAAAAAGGAGAGGCUUUGGUGAAUACUGUGUUGAGACCCAUAAAAUAUCAUGAGCUAGAAAUAGAAAUCAUGCUAUAGGAGUAGAAAAAUAGUCAAACACUAGACUAAACACUGAAAAUGACUUGCCAGAACAAAGCUUGAAUCUAGUCUUUGGCAGUGUCAAGGUGAUACACUAGUAAUUUUGAAUGAGGAAGAGAAAAAAUGUCCAAAAUAUCUAUUAUGUCUAGCAUACUAACAAAAAUUCCUAGAUAGGUAAAGAAGCAUGAAAGGGCAUUUCAUUGUAUGCUGCAGGUUUAUUAAUUUUAUUUGUUUUUUUCAAAGAACCAACUUUCUGUUUUGUCAAUUUUUAAAAAUUCUUUUGUUUCAAUUUCAUUAAUUUCAGUUCUGAUUUUAAUCAUUUGCAGUCUUCUACUGUUUUGGUGUUGAUUUGUU